rnacentral:lncRNA from 1 species
AAUCAGCAAUCGCGGCCACAUGUGCCUUCACUGCCAUCGCGAGUGUUCACCGCUGUCGAAUUGGAACUGUUGGAGUGGGAAGUAACUGAUGCUAGCCAUUUUCCCGAGUAUUCAUUCGAUUCACGCUUCAAGGGUAACAUUCGAUCUUCCUAAUUCAUGUUUAAUUGUUGUUAAUUAAAUUGUGUUUGGCAUGAAUCAUGUGUGUAUGAUGUCGAGCGUGCUAAUUGGUUUAUUUAAUUAAUUUAAAUUUAAUAUAUGGGAGCAUGCUUAUGUGUUUAAAUUAAAUUAUGUAUAUUAAUUUAAUAUAUGCAAUCAUGUUUGUGGUGAUUGGAAGGGAAAAGGUAUGCAUUUAAUUUCUCUAAUAUGCACGUGUUAUUAUUUGUAUAAAUCGGUUUAUAUAAAUGAUAUAAAAUUUAAGUUCCGUUGCAUAAACAUCCUGAUUACCAACAAAUUACUCUGAUUCGAUCGGGACAUAUGUUGUCGAAGAAUCAUUAUUGUACGUUAACUGUGAUCUAAGUUUAUUGCAGGCACUUCAUGUGUAUUUCAAAAAUCAUGACACGUUACUGGUAGGCGCGAAUCAUGAUUCGUUGGGUAUUAAUUCAUCUAUAAUACCUUUUCUCACAGCCAUCGG